CGAGUCUGAAGAGGGCGUUGAGUGGCGUGAUCUAGACCCGAAGCGAAGUGAUCUACCCAUGGCCAGGUUGAAGCGCGUGUAAGAGGCGCUGGAGGACCGAACCCACUUCAGUUGAAAAGUGUUCGGACGAGCUGCGGGUAGGGGUGAAAGGCCAAUCAAACUGGGCGAUAGCUUGUUCUCUCCGAAA
rnacentral:ncRNA from 1 species